UACGGGGGGUGCGAGCGUUGUCCGGAAUCACUGGGCGUAAAGGGCGCGUAGGUGGUUUGAUAAGGGUGUGGUGAAAGUCCGGGGCUCAACCCCGGAUCUGCCAUGCCGACUGUCAAACUCGAGGGCUGUAGAGGCAGACGGAAUUCCGGGUGUAGCGGUGGAAUGCGUAGAGAUCCGGAGGAAGACCGGUGGCGAAGGCGGUCUGCUGGGCAGUUUCUGACACUGAGGCGCGACAGCGUGGGGAGCAAACAGG
rnacentral:rRNA from 1 species